UUUGAUCCUGGCUCAGGAUGAACGCUAGCUACAGGCUUAACACAUGCAAGUCGAGGGGCAUCGGGGUGUAGCAAUACGCCGCCGGCGACCGGCGAAUGGGUGAGUAACGCGUAUCCAACCUGGCCCGUGCUCAUGGAUAGCCCUUAGAAAUGAGGAUUAAUACAUGAUGGCCUCCGCAGAUCGCAUGAGAGGCGGAGUAAAGAUUCAUCGGCACGGGAUGGGGAUGCGUUCCAUUAGAUAGUUGGCGGGGUAACGGCCCACCAAGUCAUUGAUGGAUAGGGGUUCUGAGAGGAAGGUCCCCCACAUUGGUACUGAGACACGGACCAAACUCCUACGGGAGGCAGCAGUGAGGAAUAUUGGUCAAUGGGCGGAAGCCUGAACCAGCCAAGUAGCGUGAAGGAUGACGGCCCUACGGGUUGUAAACUUCUUUUCCGGGGAAUAACAAUCGCCACGUGUGGCGUCCUGCAUGUACCCGGUGAAUAAGGACCGGCUAAUUCCGUGCC
rnacentral:rRNA from 1 species